rnacentral:rRNA from 1 species
ACUGAACGCUGGCGGAAUGCUUUACACAUGCAAGCCGAACGGUAGAGGGGGCAACCCCUCGAGAGUGGCGAACGGGUGAGUAAUAUAUCGGAACGUGCCCAGUCGUGGGGGAUAACGUAGCGAAAGUUACGCUAAUACCGCAUACGAUCUAAGGAGGAAAGCGGGGGAUCGCAAGACCUCGCGCGAUUGGAGCGGCCGAGAUCCGAUUAGGUAGUUGGUGGGGUAAAGGCUCACCAAGCCAACGAUCUGUAGCUGGUCUGAGAGGACGACCAGCCACACUGGAACUGAGACACGGUCCAGACUCCUACGGGAGGCAGCAGUGGGGAAUUUUGGACAAUGGACGCAAGUCUGAUCCAGCCAUUCCGCGUGCAGGACGAAGGCCCUCGGGUUGUAAACUGCUUUUGUACGGAACGAAAAGGUCUCUCUUAAUACGGGGGACUCAUGACGGUACCGUAAGAAUAAGCACCGGCUAACUACGUGCCAGCAGCCGCCGUAA